rnacentral:rRNA from 1 species
CGGGUGAGUAACACGUGGAUAACCUACCUAUAAGACUGGGAUAACUUCGGGAAACCGGAGCUAAUACCGGAUAAUAUUUUGAACCGCAUGGUUCAAAAGUGAAAGACGGUCUUGCUGUCACUUAUAGAUGGAUCCGCGCUGCAUUAGCUAGUUGGUAAGGUAACGGCUUACCAAGGCAACGAUGCACAGCCGACCUGAGAGGGUGAUCGGCCACACUGGAACUGAGACACGGUCCAGACUCCUACGGGAGGCAGCAGCC